CAGUAGCCACGGGAAUACGUAGGUGGCAAGCGUUGUCCGGAAUUAUUGGGCGUAAAGGGCUCGCAGGCGGUUUCUUAAGUCUGGUGUGAAAGCCCCCGGCUCAACCGGGGAGGGUCAUUGGAAACUGGGAAACUUGAGUGCAGAAGAGGAGAGUGGAGUUCCACGUGUAGCGGUGAAAUGCGUAGAGAUGUGGAGGAACACCAGUGGCGAAGGCGACUCUCUGGACUGUAACUGACGCUGAGGAGCGAAAGCGUGGGGAGCGAACAGGAUUAGAUACCCGCGUAGUACCUGUCUCUUAUAA
rnacentral:rRNA from 1 species